AAGACCUGAGCUGAGAUCAAGAGUUGGACACUUAACCGACUGAGCCACCCAAAACCCCAUGGUGGCGUGAGAUGAGGAAUGAUCCUGCCAAUUCUCAUCUGGAGGACCCAGGGUCCCAAUUCGGGACCCAGCACAUUUCCUAGUCUUCCCUUCCUUCCUCUUUAAUCACACACCACAUGCUCUGUGUUUCUGGAAUGGCCCAUUUUGGCUGGGGACUAUGGAUUUCCUGACACUGGCCCUCCUAUGAGGAGAGAGAAAAAGUUCCUGGGGGUAGUCCUGCCUGCAGGUGAAGCCCGGGUGUCCUUGUGGCUUGAGGAAUUUCUGAUCUGUGCCGGGCCUGGCAUCUAUUUGCUACUGUGACUGCACAUUGCAGAAGUCAUUGUGGUCAUUCCACAGCUUCUGAGCAUCAUGGUUCCUGAAGAAAGACCACAGCAGGAGAAAAAGGCCUUGCUUAUUUUUGUUCUGGUUAGUAAUUGUGAGAUUAUCAAAGUGUUAUUUAUUAAUGUGUUUGCAUAUAAAUAGAACCCAUGAAAAAGUCAUUCUAAUUUUGACUUUACUUUGAAGGACCUUCCAGAUAACUUAUGUCAUUGCUUGACAGAGUUCAAGCCAUUUUUAGAAUGGUUGUUACUACAUCUAAAAGAAAUAAGAUCCUAGAACCAACGUUCUCUAAAGAAGGACCAUCCCUCCCUAAAUAUGCAACAAAUACCAUGACUGUCCCAUGGAGUUUCUUAGAUGCUGUUUUAUUUCAGAGGCAAAAGGAGUUUAUUUCCUCUUUAUAAAGACCAAUACAACUCAAGAAUAAUAUGUUGGCUCCAGAAAGGAUCUUUGAAAGGAUCUAGUCCUGGCCCAGACUAUGUGGGGUUUUCAUAUAUAUUUUAUAAAGACUUGGGCCUCAUAAAGGAGCUUCAGGGAUAUCACAAACAUUUAUUUUAUUCACAUUUCAUUCUGAAAACCAUAUAAACUAUUUCAAAAGCUCCAAUUAAGACAACAUGCAUCAUAGAACACAUUUUCAGAUGUGCAUUUAAAAGCCCUCAAAAGUUAACUUGUGUUGGCCAGGUAAUUAAGGUAGUGCUAGUUGCUCUAAAAAAAUUACAUAAUGGAUCAAGUACACUAGAAGAAUGAAGCCUAAAAUGGGUGUUUCUGAAUGCUGGCUGGCUUUCCUUCAAGCGGAGGUGUGGGGACCCAGGCUCCUUCCAUCUUGUGGCUCCACCAUCUCUCACCUCCAAAUUCCAGGUUUUCUGCAUCCCUCUUCAUCAAGCCAGCAGAGGAGCAAAGAACGUGGAGAAUCGUGUGUCAGAGGUUCUUAGAGGGGCUGUGCACAUCUUUCCACUCCCAUGUUAUUGGCUGGAAAUGUGUCACGUGGCCACAUUUAAUUGUGAGGGACUCUGAGAAAUGUUUCCUACCAGCUACCUGCCUUACCAGGUUACUCGCUUAGGCACAUGCUUGGAAAUCGGACAUGGUUAUCUGAGGAGUAACCAUUUUAAAACCAUUUAUCUGUGUGAAUCUGAAUUUUGAGAUGGUGUAAUUAAAUUCAGCAUAAGUUCUCAGCUUUUUCUCCAUAGCUCCGGAUCUGAUAUUUUUGUAUUCACCGA